rnacentral:rRNA from 1 species
GAUGAACGCUGGCGGCGUGCCUAAUACAUGCAAGUCGAGCGAACAGACGAGGAGCUUGCUCCUCUGACCUUAGCGGCGGACGGGUGAGUAACACGUGGAUAACCUACCUAUAAGACUGGGAUAACUUCGGGAAACCGGAGCUACUACCGGAUAAUAUAUUGAACCGCAUGGUUCAAUAGUGAAAGACGGUUUUGCUGUCACUUAUAGAUGGAUCCGCGCCGCAUUAGCUAGUUGGUAAGGUAACGGCUUACCAAGGCAACGAUGCGUAGCCGACCUGAGAGGGUGAUCGGCCACACUGGAACUGAGACACGGUCCAGACUCCUACGGGAGGCAGCAGUAGGGAAUCUUCCGCAAUGGGCGAAAGCCUGACGGAGCAACGCCGCGUGAGUGAUGAAGGUCUUCGGAUCGUAAAACUCUGUUAUUAGGGAAGAACAAAUGUGUAAGUAACUAUGCACGUCUUGACGGUACCUAAUCAGAAAGCCACGGCUAACUACGUG